UGUUCCUGUAGUCGUCCAGCCAGUGUCUAUAUAUUAGAAUAUUGUGUGCUCAAUGAUAGUAACAUAAUUUCGAUUUCUAAAAUUAUCAUUAAUCAACAUUUUUAGAAAAAAUGGCUAUAACAUUUUUAUGUGUCUGUCUAGAUAAUCGGCAGCAGCAUAAUAUUAUGUUUAGCGCUGUUGAUAUACUAGAUAUCGAACAUGAGGUUUUCGCCUUCGAAUCGGGGACUAGUAAAAAAUAAAAAAUGCAUCA